UGGAAUUGUCUAAUGUUAUUCAUUAAACUAACAAUUUCUCCCCUCCUGUUCUUAAGUGUGACUUGUGACCUUGCAAUCUAUGUAUUUUGUCAUCACAAUGUGUUACCAUGGAACUCAUUUUGAUGUAAUGAAUAAGGGCAUUGUGAGUUUCCAUGUUCCCAAGCAUAUUUGAGACACAGGUUUGGAAACAAAAAUGACUUCACCAGUUAAAUAUUGUUAGAUCCUAUAGUAUAUCAAAGGCAGCUGUGGUGAUGUUAAAUCAUGGCAGCCUGUGGACUGCCGCACAGGGCAUGUGCUCCCUGGUUUCCUUGGUCACCUGCUGCACCAGACUGGGAUCGAGCUUUUCCAGGGUUUCCUGAACGCAGGAGGAGGGAAAAGUACCUUGUCAGUGGAUCAUACUUCAUAAGUGAGAGCUCAAGUCUUCGCCAGUCUUUGGGACUGAAAGUUGUUAUUUACAGACAUCUAAAGUGGUUGUACUUCCCUCCAGACUAAUGGAAGCAUUGCAUGUACUCAGGAAACGUCAUUUUACAAACCUGAAGAAGACAGAAACUGAGUAUGUGUAAAGGAGCAAGAAAAUUUUGUGUUCUGACCUGAUGCCAGUGUCAUUCUGCUAUUAAUUUUUCCAUUUAUAAAAUGAUUUUGAUAAUUUUAUUGAAUAUCAUGAGGAUUAAUUCUAUUUCAUGGAAACUUUUUAAUACAGUGUGAACUGUUGCAGAGGGUUUGGAGAUGAAGACUGCUAGGGCUAUAAUUUGUCAAAGUUAACGUGGAUGGAGAAAGUCCAAGAUACUCAACUUCUGUAAAGAGAACUUCAACCAGAAUAAAAGAAUCUUGUUCUGAGGCUUAUAGAAAGAAUAAGAACUAUUAUUAAUGCUGUGGAAGGAGUGGCUGUGUUUGACUAAGAAAAUGCCACUGGAUCCAAGUAUUUAUUACUAAACACACUUGAAUAGAAAACAUGCGGAGAAAACACUUGGUAAUUCAUUUGUCAAAAGCUGACUGAACUGUAGCCCUGAAAUAAUUAUGAUCUGGAUAUAAUGGGCAGAGAAGCUGCUGACCACAAGCUAACUUCCUCAUUCUUUCUCCUUCCUUCAGGAGUGGUUUGCAUUAGGUAGCCAGCUGAAACUUCCAAAGCGCAUAUUUUCUUACUGUGUUGCUACAAGCCAUCUCCAGCUACUUCUCAUUUAAGUUCCCACUAACCUCCCCCACCUCCCUCAUUUUUCCCCAUUCUUGAAAUUAAAAAAAAAUUAUUAAUGCAUUGACUUCAGUUAAAUGCUUCCCCAGUCCUCUUGCCUGCACACACGCAAACACACACACCCCAAGCACAGGGAGGAAGGCAACCUGUGCAGUGAGAUAAAGACAACGGCAUUGCUGAACAUAAUCCAACAGCUCUAGGGUUGCCUGUCCCAAGCAACAGAUAUUCUGUAUCACCUCAUGUUAACAAACAAGAGACUUUUUCCCACGACAUUAUAUAUUUACUUUAGUCUACUGUUCAAGCUUUGCAUGUUGGCUUCCUAUGACUAUUUGAUCCCAGAUUCAGCUCUGUGCCAGAGCUGCUGGAACAAAAUGUGGUGGGUGGACAAACCUGUCCUGCUGCAUUGCUUCCAGUCUAAAAAAAAAAAAGAAAGCAUUUAUCUGACUCAUUACUGUAGAUAUACUAACAGAGCGAACUGGUGAUGAUUUUCUGACUGAAAGUGCCUGCAUCUGCUCAAAAGGUUAACGGGGCAAAUAUUAAGUAGCUUAUCUUUUAAAGAGAGAGAUAAGGAAGAAGAGCUGUGAUAUGCUUGCCAAUAAAUACAUGUCUGUACAUCACGGCUGAUAGUCUCGUACAUUGCAGUAACCAUAUCAGGUAGGGCUGGCAAUUGGAGCCCCCACAGAAAACCAGGACAUCUAAGCUGUAGCCCUAGCUACUGAGUUUUGCUGGACCCUUUGGCAAAUGAGUUAGAGCUAAAUUACUCUGCCUUCUGUUCCUGAAUAGAUAAUGGAGUGGGAGGUUUCUCCCAUUCUGCAACUGCAAAAUGAGGGAUUUUUUUUUCUUUUGUGUGUUUUUUUCAUUGAGAUCUUCAAACCAAAAGACCUACAAAUAAAAUAAGCAUUAUCAGGUAUUAUUAUAAUGCUGAUGACACAGCACAUCUACAAGGAAAUGUGUAAUAUCUGUAGUUCUGUAGUUCAAUACGAGGGUGCAAAAUCCAGUCUCCUUAAAAAGGGACAAAAUGUGGAAUGAUUUUACAGAAAUUUCACUGAAUGUCUUCUGUGUAUUUUUCAAUUGCACACACAUAUAUUUCUGUAUUUUUAAGGUAUUUACAUAUGUUUGGUAUGUAUGUGUAGAGAAAUACAUGCAUGAUGUGUGUGCAUAUUAGGCUUUAUAUUUGAAGUAUACAGUUUUGGGGAAGGGAUAUAUUUUCCUCCCUCUGGGCGGACUAAUCCUUUCUAAGUACUAGUACGCAUAUAUUCCUUUGUCUUUAAAAUAUAUCAUACUUGCUUCAGAAAGAAUUCCGUGUGAUGGCUGACACUGUUAAAAAGAGAUUGCUAUUAAAUUUAACUGCCUUUUUAACAAGCCUAAACUGUAGCCUGAAUUCAGCUAUUACAGCAAGGUGCAACCCAUGCAGGAAAUCGGGAUGCAGCUGCCACAAGAGCCUUUUGGCAUAGCCUGAAGUGCUCAGGAAUAGCAGCGUAGAUGGGCUCUCAUAGCGCCACUAGGGGAACACUGCAGUGCAUACCUAUGGGGAUCCUUCACAGGUAGGAAAAUGGUAUUAAAUGUUCAACCCUUAAGUUAAUUUCUCUGCACAGCACAAAUCUGAAGAGGUAGUCAAAAUUAUAAAUUAACCAUGUUGUAAGAAACUGCCUCAUCAAAUUACUGGACAAUAGAAUAGUUUUUACAACACUCCUAGAGACUAUUUCUGCGGGGAAAUAGCUCAUAGGAGUUAAUUCCCAUGGCACAACUUUUGGUGUUUUGUCUGAGUGGCUAAAUCACCUGGCGUGUCUCUGUGGGAUUUUUCAGAGAUGACAGCUGAACCAAUACACCCCUGACUUCAUGAGAGGAGCUCUGAGGGGCAUUCAGCCCACUUGGCUUCCAUUUAAGUUGGGUGGUGUGAACAGUCUUCAAAAUGCCUUCAGGUUUCCCUUUACUCAGUGAUGUAGGUAAUGCUCUUCUUCUCUCUCAGAAACAGGAAUUAAACAAUAAAAUCAAAAUCUUGUAAUCAUCUCCUUGGGAAUUCCUUUUAGCUUCACUGGACAUAAAAUGAUCUUUUUCCCUAAAUUGUGUGGCAGAGGAAGGCAGAGACUAAUUACAUGGCCAGCUUUCAACACAAACAUUUCCAGUGUCUAGUGUGGUGACAUUUGUUUGGGAUCGCCCACGAAUCGUGUAUGAUAAUCAUUUUUCAUACCUAGGCAUGAGUUUAAAUGUCAUAAAGCUGCUUUCUUACUGAUCAUGUGAUCUGUUUAUAGUGAGGAACAGAAAGGAGGACCCAAAACCAAAAUAAAUUUUAUUAUUCCCAUUUUCAGGGUCUUCCACAGUAGCAAGUUAUGAAAAGGACCAUCCUAUAAAAUAGAAUUGCAGUUGGGUCUCCAAACAUUGCUAUCAGUAAAAAACAACUCAUGUAAUUUUUUACAUUUACAGCAGUAUCAUUAACUUUACCUCAGUGCUCUGUGAAACACACUAUGACCAACAACCUUUCAUUAUGUGAAAACUCCCAUCUUUAUUCUCCACCAAACAAAUCUUCUAGAGCACAUAUAUCUCUACUGAAGGAAUUGGCAGGGAGAGAAAACAGAUCUUUGUUUUAAAAAUGAGAUGCAAAUUUAAAAUUUGCAAUUGUGUCUCCCCUCUCAAGUAAUGAUCCACAACAAUUUCCUGGUAGCAGCUGAAACCCAAAGAAAAAUACUUGCCAGCCUUUGUAUGCACUUGUUCUCCAAUAAAUCUUCCUGAAUUUGCAGAGAUACAGAGACAGACUUUGAAUUUGAGGAGAAAAAAAAUUGUGUGAAGUUCAGCACACAAUGUGAUUUGUUUGGCAUGCAGGAGGUUUCUCACAAUCUCAGUCUCACAAAAUGAAAUUACUUGCAAACUUCUCUGCCUUUCCACUUUGACACUUUUUGGAUGAAGAUUUAUUUGUGUAUAUUUGUGUCCUAUUGUGGCUGUCACUCUGGGAGAAGAAUGCUGGGUCUUUACUGUAGUAUUUACUGUACUGCCUUCACUGUGGGAACUGUCAUUGCAACAAAAGGUCCCGGUGAUCAGAAAGGAAAUGUGCAGUUAUUCCAGUCAGUUAUGACAAUUGCUGUGAAUGCAAAUUAUCUCCAGCUUUAUCGAAAACUUUUUCUGUUGAAUGCCAAGAGAGCUAUCAGUAGCAAAGUGUGUGUUACUUAUAUGGGUAAAUUUCUGUAAGGGAAGGUCUUGUUUUGUUACAUUUAAUAUCACUUUUGAUUUUUAAUCUUAAAGAAAGGAGUCCAUGGAAAUAUGUGUUUGAAACUUCAAGUGACCUAUCUGCAGCAUGCUUGAAUUUUGUUAAAAGAGUUGCCAACCUUUCUAUGAGUUUCAUCUACUUUCCAGAUGUCACUGUAGAAAUGAAUGCAAUAUUGUCAUUUGCUAUAAAAACUUCCUGCAGCUUUAUUAACAAGUUUCCCAUGAUGUAAUUAGAGAGAAGGUGCAGUGUUUUCUUUGGCACCUGUGGAUAAAAUGCUGUGCAUACUUACACUGCUGUAAACUCAGAACAAAUCAGUACAUUUUAAUGAAGUUAUUUUGGACUGAGUUCAUGUAGAACUUGGCUAUGCCUUUAUCUAUAGCUGGAUAUCUUCCCUGAGGGGCAAAUACAAAAAAGGUUUUACAUUUUCUUUGGAUUUCUUAUAAAAAUACACUAUUCUCAGUAUCAAGGAUGUUGCUGAAAUUCUGACCAGAGCAAAUGCUGUAAAAUCUUUUAGGUCCUGGUUAAUCUAGGUUUUCAAAUGUCUGUAACUUACUUAAAUGAGCUGGAGUACAUGCAAAUGCACACACAAGAGGCCUUAAGGCCUCUCCUAUAUGCCUCCAUUUCCUCUCUGUUCACUGAUCUGUAACAUGAGAUUCAUGGAAGAUAAGUGUUUUGGAGUCUGAAGCCACGCCUCUAUCAGUGAGCAUUUCUCUCCAUCUCAUUUGAGACUAUGGAAGUCUCUGGUAGACCAAGGCUGGUGCUAGUUCCCAGUUCAUUGUACCACCAGUGUAAGUAGAUGAUUUUGACUUUGAU